CAAGGUAGCCUAAGUGGUAUACAGGUGGAGUAAAAAUGACUAACUGAAUAACUUGGGCAAUUUGUUUGUUUUUCUUUUCUUUUCUUUUCUUUUCUUUUAUUUCUAUGUAUCAUAUUUAAUAAAAUGGUAUUGGUGUUGGUUAUAUAGCUUCCAAAUGCCUCUAGUGGACGUCAACAGGUCAGGAAGUCUGUAGGAGAUCAUGAUAGUCAAGAUGAUGAGUUGUUGGGUUCUCCUGUGCAGGUUUUGCAUGAAGACUGAUAGAUGAAUUAAUGGUGGCAUGGAAGCUAACUUUAUUUUUGGACAUAUUAUAUUAUGGCUUGAGAUGUCAAGCUUUUUGUACUUAAUAUUUAUAACAUAUUGCUACCAUACUUUUUGUAUUGAUGUAACAAAUUUUUUGUUAAUAUUUUGAUGUCAAUGAAGCUAAGAUGAUGACUGAAUUUGUAUAAAUAUUUUUGGUUUUUGAAUGAAUGAAUGAAUGAAUGUC